rnacentral:lncRNA from 1 species
AUGACGGUGUGAGGUCUUUUCUAAGCAGGAACAGACAAGGAGAGGGUUUCCUGUGAUGGGAUCAGUCAGAUGCCUGCCUGGCCACUCCCCCUGAGGGGACCUGGGCUCCUCUUACCAUUGGCAGGCCGGUAUAAACUUGCGGCUCAGAUCAAGCUAUGCCUGAUGCUGCCUUAAGCCUUAUGAGGUCGCCAAGGAACCGCAGGUGAGGAUUCAGGAGAUAAUUCUGCAAACAGAACUUCCUGAGAACUGAGAUGGGGGAAAUCGCUGGUAUUAGAAGAGUGAAAAGAAACUCCUGGAGGGCAGAGGCAUGCCUGCCAUCUUCAUCAAUGCAUUACCACCACCCAACACUAUCGGGGGACCUGCCCUGAUAAUCAGCAUGUAAGGAGGCUUAACACAACUCUGUAUGGGAACAGUCAGGUUGGAG